rnacentral:ncRNA from 1 species
UACAAAGCUACGACGAGAAAAGUACGACGCCCGUUUUUUCCAAAAGAGAGUUCCCACUGCUGAAAAGGAACAAAAAACAACGUCCGAAAAUGGCCUCUGAGUUUUGUCGCUGAAAAUAAGUAAGCAACAACGGGUUUAGUGUCCGUUAUCAAGCACUCUAAGUAUUUUAUAUGUAAAUGCUUAUUUGAGGUUUUCAGUGCAAGCUGGAAAUAAAUUAAGGUGGUACCGCGUGAAAUUUUCUCGCCCUUAUU